UCCAGGCCCUACGGGGCGCAGCAGGCGCGAAACCUCCGCAAUGCGGGCAACCGCGACGGGGGGACCCCCAGUGCCGUGGCACAGCCACGGCUUUUCCGGAGUGUAAAAAGCUCCGGGAAUAAGGGCUGGGCAAGGCCGGUGGCAGCCGCCGCGGUAAUACCGGCGGCCCAAGUGGUGGCCGCUAUUAUUGGGCCUAAAGCGUCCGUAGCCGGGCCCGUAAGUCCCUGGCGAAAUCCCACGGCUCAACCGUGGGGCUUGCUGGGGAUACUGCGGGCCUUGGGACCGGGAGAGGCCGGGGGUACCCCUGGGGUAGGGGUGAAAUCCUAUAAUCCCAGGGGGACCGCCAGUGGCGAAGGCGCCCGGCCGGAACGGGUCCGACGGUGAGGGACGAAAGGCCAGGGGAGCGAACCGGAUUAGAUACCCGGGUAGUCCUGGCUGUAAAGGAUCGGGCUAGGUGUCGGCGAGCUUCGAGCUCGCCCGGUGCCGGAGGGAAGCCGUUAAGCCCGCCGCCUGGGGAGUACGGCCGCAAGGCUGAAACUUAAAGGAAUUGGCGGGGGAGCACUACAAGGGGUGGAGCGUGCGGUUUAAUUGGAUUCGACGCCGGGAACCUCACCGGGGGCGACGGCAGGAUGAAGGCCAGGCUGAAGGUCUUGCCGGACGCGCCGAGAAGGAGGUGCAUUGGCCGCCGUCAGCUCGUACCGUGAGGCGUCCACUUAAGUGUGGUAACGAGCGAGACCCGCGCCCCCAGUUGCCAGUCCUCCCCGCUGGGGAGGAGGCACUCUGGGGGGACCGCCGGCGAUAAGCCGGAGGAAGGAGCGGGCGACGGUAGGUCAGUAUGCCCCGAAACCCCCGGGCUACACGCGCGCUACAAUGGGCGGGACAAUGGGAACCGACCCCGAAAGGGGAAGGGAAUCCCCUAAACCCGCCCUCAGUUCGGAUCGCGGGCUGCAACUCGCCCGCGUGAAGCUGGAAUCCCUAGUACCCGCGUGUCAUCAUCGCGCGGCGAAUACAUCCCUGCUCCUUGCACUCACCGCCCGUC
rnacentral:rRNA from 1 species